rnacentral:rRNA from 1 species
CUACGGGAGGCUGCAGUGGGGAAUAUUGGACAAUGGGCGAAAGCCUGAUCCAGCCAUGCCGCGUGUGUGAAGAAGGCCUUCGGGUUGUAAAGCACUUUCAGUGGGGAAGAAAGCCUUGGGGCUAAUACCCUCGAGGAAGGACAUCACCCACAGAAGAAGCACCGGCUAACUCCGUGCCAGCAGCCGCGGUAAUACGGAGGGUGCGAGCGUUAAUCGGAAUUACUGGGCGUAAAGCGCGCGUAGGCGGUCUGAUAAGCCGGUUGUGAAAGCCCCGGGCUCAACCUGGGAACGGCAUCCGGAACUGUCAGGCUAGAGUGCAGGAGAGGAAGGUAGAAUUCCCGGUGUAGCAGUGAAAUGCGUAGAGAUCGGGAGGAAUACCAGUGGCGAAGGCGGCCUUCUGGACUGACACUGACGCUGAGGUGCGAAAGCGUGGGUAGCAAACAGGAUUAGAUACCCUAGUAGUC